GAGGCCAGUCUGGAUCAAGGAAGCUUACUCUGGAGCCAAAAGGGAAUGGGUGCAAAGGGGGAAGCGGAUGGGAAAGUGCCCCUGCUCUCUUUAUUUUGGUUGCCGAUAAAGCAAGGCAGAGGGAAGGAGGUCUCUUGUGCCAAAAUAAUUUGGCCGGCUUGAAGCACAGUGUGCCAUCAUCAGGUGUUUCAUGUUCUGCCUCCGGCAGCCAAAUGUCUCCAGACAGCCUUUGUUUUGAAUGUUUUGCCAUUUGCAUCUCCUCUUGGCUGCUCUUCCUCGGAUGGCACAAUCUCUUGGGACGGCACCAGACAGGAACACCCUGCUUUUAAGGAAGCGGCACAAAAACCCGGUAUUUUCCUAGACAAACGUGGUUUGCUUACUCCAGAAAUAUUGUUGGUCCAUCAAAAAAAAUCAAUGGGCAUCUUUGUUGCUGGCAGGAACAUGACGAAACACAAGUCACGAAAUAAUCUAAUUAAUGACGAACCGUCAACAACCAGCUAUAGGUCACCCUCUUCUGCUGCAACUCACAUGAGCAAGAUGAAAGAAGCUUCCGUGCCAAAGUGCUCGCAAAGAAAGAUGCGCCCAUCCCUUCGUAUCCACAGAUUCCAACACCCAUGGCUUGAAUAUAUAUAUAUCCCCAAAUCAAACCUUUAGCAUGCCAUUUUAUAUAAGGGGCCCCAUUUUUACUAUGGCAUUGAAUGUAAUGGAACAAUAACAACAACAACAAUAACUAAAUCACAGUGGAUAUGAAAGGACCAUUCUGAAUAAGAGGCUUUGCUCUGAGGACCCUGAGUCUGCAUCUACACUGCCCUAUUAUCCAGUUUAGAAUGUGGAUUAUCUGCAUUAAAAUGGAUUAUAUCAGACUAUGUUGUCCUACAAUCCAGAUCAAUGCGUCAAUUCACAUUCUGAAACUUGAUUAUAAGGCAGUGUAGAUCCAGCCCAAGACCUCUUCUACACUGACCAUGUAAUCCAGUUUCCAAAUGCAGAUUAUCUGAUUUAAACUGGAUUAUAUAAAUUUACACUGCUGUAUAAUCCAGUUUAAAGCAGGUAAUCUGUAUUCGGAAACUCAGAUGUUGCGUGAAAUGUCCUGUCUGCCGGAAAGACUAUUUAUUUUGUGAAGUAUUUGAUCUCUUUAUCUGGUAACAGAUAAAAAUUAUUACUAUUAUUGUUGUUAUUUCACAUCUAAUACAUGAUACUGUAUAUCUUAUGUAGAGGAUCCUUGUAAAUUAUGUGGUGCAACUUCCAACACUCCUAAUAAUUGACGAGCCACGGCUGCUGAGAGUUGCAGUCCAAGUAUAUCUGGAAAGCUGCAUCAUCUCUAUCCAUUUUAAUAUAGGAAUCAUGUGAAAUCUCACCAGAGAAUAAUUUGUCUUCUACAUUGCCAUAUAAAAUCCAGAUUAUCUGUUUUGAUCAUCUGGAUUAUAUGGCAGUGUGGACUCAGAUCCCUUCUACACUGUCAUAUAAUACAGAUUAUCAAAUCAGAUAAUCUGGAUUUUAUAUGGCAAUGUAGAAGGGGCCACAUAUAAUCUGGUUCAAAGCGGCUAAAGUGGAUUAUCUGUUUUGAUAAUCUAGAUUAUAUGGCCGUGUAGAAGGGGCCUUAGUUCCUUUGAAUCCUUUGCUUUUUAAGAUAACAGUCGAAAGCAUACAUUUUCUGAUUUCAUCAUAGAAAGGUGACAUUUUCGGACUCCAGCCUUUCCAGUUGCUAUGUUAUUGGAUUCCAGUUCCCAUCAGCCACAGAACCAAUGGGGAGGGAUGCUGGAAGCUAUAGUACAACCAGUUUGGCCAAACUACGAUUCACUGUUUAGAGGGGAACUUUUUUGGACAGCAAUAUUAUUAUUAUUAUUAUUAUUAUUAUUAUUAUUAUUAUUAUUAUUAUUAUGUUUAUUAUCUUGUUUAUUUGUCAUGGCUGGAUGAUUCUGGAAGGUGUUAUCUCCAAAAACAGCUUCUUCAAGAUCUAGUCCUAAUCUGCCAGAGACAGAUGUUAUUUUCUUGAACCUUUUCCUGAUUCUGUUCCUGUUUUGUCCCUUUGAGGAAGAGGUUAAUCUUCAAAGCGAACUCCAAAAUGGGGAACCAACAACCACAAGUCUCCAGACAGUUGGCAGUCCCCAUGGUAAAUAUUUCUGAAUGAAUUUGGAUCAGUGCGAUUCUAGUAUAGGGCUGGACUAUGGUGUAUUUUCCUUGCAAGUGGGAUGCAGCCUGCAAUAUAAAGUAGAAGCAACUAUGCCUUCUGAAUAAAGUAGAAGUGACUUCUUU